rnacentral:rRNA from 1 species
CCCAUAGACGMNAUAAGYCGUAACAUAGUAGAUGUACCGGAAGGUGUAUCUAGGAUUAUUC